rnacentral:rRNA from 1 species
AUUGAACGCUGGCGGUAGGCCUAACACAUGCAAGUCGAACGGCAGCACAGUAAGAGCUUGCUCUUACGGGUGGCGAGUGGCGGACGGGUGAGGAAUACAUCGGAAUCUACUUUUUCGUGGGGGAUAACGUAGGGAAACUUACGCUAAUACCGCAUACGACCUACGGGUGAAAGCAGGGGACCUUCGGGCCUUGCGCGAUUGAAUGAGCCGAUGUCGGAUUAGCUAGUUGGCGGGGUAAAGGCCCACCAAGGCGACGAUCCGUAGCUGGUCUGAGAGGGUGAGCAGCCACACUGGAACUGAGACACGGUCAGGACUCCUACGGGAGGCAGCAGUGGGGAAUAUUGGACGAUGGGCGCAAGCCUGAGCCAGCCAUACCGCGUGGGUGAAGAAGGCCUUCGGGUUGUAAAGCCCUUUUGUUGGGAAAGAAAUCCAGCCGGCUAAUACCUGGUUGGGAUGACGGUACCCAAAGAAUAAGCACCGGCUAACUUCGUGCCAGCCGCCGCGGUAACAC